AAACAUGGAGGGAAACAAAACUACAGACAGAGGGAGACAGAGUGGAGAACAAAGGAGAAACUUAAAGGACAAAGAGGGGCAUGGAACAUCAAAACAAAGACACAAGGCUUGAUACAAAGACAUAAAUUCAGAGUCAUUACAACCAACUCUUAAUGAACAGAUCCAUGAGUGAUGAGUUCAGGUGUCUUUAAGGUUCUUGUUCAUAUUUUCAGCUGCUAAUUAAUGAGAGAAUUAACAGCGUCACCAGAUUCAGUGGACUAAUUAUUGGAAACAUUGAUUACUUUGAUUGAUGGACUGAUUGAAGAUGACAGAAAGCUGCUCAGAUGUUGUUGUGCAGAAAGUGUAACCCGCGGUGGCACUGAGGUCUCUGCGGCUGAACACUAUGUUCUUUUCUGUUUUUGUUCACUUCCUGUUAGAAAGGUUAACACAUACAAACAAACACACACACUGACUUCCAUUCAUUCAGACUGAGCUGACCUCAGAGGGUCUGGUGACGUCUGUCUGUGUCAGUUCAGCUGUAAAGGUUGUAAUAAUGAUCCGUGCAGCAGUCAGGUGCUCAGACACAUCAGCCUGUGCAGCUGCCUCCAUCGUGACGAUGGUGAAACCCAGUCAAAUGUUAGCAGCUGUCAGCAGGAGCCCUCACUGUCAUCAGCUUCAAUUUUAAUAUGGCUGCUCAGAGUGUUUGUCCAAGAGUUCCUGUUUGAAACCAAGUGUUGUGUUCAUCUUCUUGUUUCAGAGUGUUUCAUUUUUCUGCUAACUGUCUCACUAUCACAGGUGAUUAUCAUCGGUGAUGUCCUCACAGGGAGAUGGACACCUGCUAGCCGCCCAGUCUGCAGCAUCAGAAUACGAGACAUACAGCAGUCUGUCUGUUGACCAUCUGGUGACCGCGGUGCAGCCAGAACAACCUGGAGCUUAACGCUCUGAAGUGGAGGCAGUCGUGGACUUCAGGAAGAACCUAGCACCACCCGCCUCCAUCAUCCUGUGUGGCUCUCCAGUUGACUCUGUGGAGUCCUGCUGCUUCCUGGACACCAUCAUCACCCAGGACCUAAAACGGGAGCUGAACAUCAGAUCCCUCACCAGGGACCCCGCUGACUCUGACCAUCACACUCUUGUGUCUCUGUUUAUAUUGUUUAUAUAUUAUUGUCACUGUUUGUUUACUGUUUAUUGUCUUCAGUUUAUGAACCUUAUCCACCAAGACCAACUCCUUGCUGGUGAAAAAUACUUCUUGGUAAUAAAUCUGUUUCUGAUUCUGA